AUGCAAAUACGAUAUGCAACACUAACAAAGCUUGUAUCCAGAAGACUAACCCAAAGAAUAAAAAAGACAGUGGAAGGGGCGCAUCCCACCUGGUACCGCCCCAACUUCCUCUCGGGCGGUGCACCAAGGGUGCACCUCAAUGGUGGUGGAGCUCCCGGUGAUUCAAUGGAUGACUAUGGACGCAUGGCCGAGUCCACCACCAUUGAGUGUAUGUACAAGUUCUGCAGGGCAGUGGUGGCAAUGUUUGGACCUCAAUACUUGCGAUCACCCAAUGCCGGUGAUUCAAUGGAUGACUAUGGACGCAUGGCCGAGUCCACCACCAUUGAGUGUAUGUACAAGUUCUGCAGGGCAGUGGUGGCAAUGUUUGGACCUCAAUACUUGCGAUCACCCAAUGCUGAAGACACUGCUCGGAUCCUAGCACAGAAUGCAGCAAGAGGAUUUCCUGGUAUGCUUGGAAGCAUCGACUGCAUGCAUUGGAAAUGUAAAAACUGUCAAUUUGCUUGGCAGGGGAUGUACAAAGGCGCCAAAGGCGGUUGUAGUGUCGUACUUGAGGCAGUGGCCACACACGACCUCUGGAUUUGGCACUCCUUUGGUAUGCCAGGAACUCACAAUGAUAUCAACGUACUGCAGUGCUUCCCUGUCUUUGCCAAGCUUGUUGAAGGUCAUGCUCCUCCUGUGAACUUCGAGGUCAAUGGGCGCCACUACAACAAGGGAUACUACCUGGCAGAUGGCAUCUAUCCGAGAUGGUCCACGGUGAAGACAAUCUCAAACACUGUGCCAGGAGGCAAGAACUCCUACUUUGCCAAGUGUCAGGAGGCUUGCAGGAAGGAUAUCGAGCAGGCAUUUGGUGUGCUUCAAUCUCGAUUUGUUGUUGUCCGGUACCCCGCUCAGACCUGGUUGAAAGAUCAAAUGUGGGAGGUCAUGACUUGCUGUGUCAUCUUGCACAACAUGAUCAUUGAGAGCGAGCAGAAAGAGUCAGUGUUUGACACUGAGCCAUAUUACAGGCAGGGUCCUCUUGCCCAAGUUGAUCACCAGCUACCGGCAACCUGGACUGUCUUCCUCAAUAUGUGUCAGAAGAUCCAAGACCCACAGGUGUAUCAACAACUGCAGCAAGAUGUGGUGGAGCACCUAUGGAAGCUCAAGGGCAACGCCUAG
rnacentral:rRNA from 1 species